ensembl:lncRNA
UCAGCCUAGAGAAGAGGAGGCUCAGAGGAGACCUUAUUGCUCUCUAUAGCUACCUGAAGGGAGGUUGUAGUGAGCUGGGGGCAUCACCUGCACUGCUUGUGGCAGCAGGUUAAACAUCCAAGCUAGCAUCCAGAGUGGCAUCAGGGCAUCUGGCUGGUCGUUUAUUUACAGCUGUCUGGUUUCUCUACAAAAUGAAGAAUGAGCCCAGAAAAGAAAGAUAUGCUAAUUGCAACCAGAAACAGUUGUCAGUAUGGUAACGGACAGAACAUAAAAAUAAUCAGGAAACACUGGCAUAUCCAAUUGCAUGCAAACUCCUAGAUAUAACGUUUCCACUAGACUGGUUAGAAGAAUGAUCGGUAAUUUAAUUAAAUAUCACAACUCCCAUUGAACAUGGAAUUUCAGAAAACUUCUAAGAAAAUGGCCAACAGCUCUGAGAUGGCAUAUUUUGCUGUAGCAGAUAGCCUUACUGCUGAUUUUCUGUGACACUGGAGUUUCUUUAUCUUAUUUGCCAUCAGAAAGUGUCCGCAUAUAGUUCUGAAAUAAUUCUCAAGAAGAAAUGUUUGCUGCUAAAUUUCUUCACUAAACUCAAGAGAACAUCUCAGGCUAAAUCUGCUUUUGGUCCUUAGCAUAAGGCAGGGGAGGAACAGUCCCACAGUAAGAGGAACAAGGCAAAGUUUUAAUGGGCUGUUUUCCAACUGCUUCUGGCUUCCUGGAGAUGUGACAGUUAAACGGGAUGUUUUGCUGGCCUCCUGUGGGAUGGGAGUCCAAGAAAAGCACCAACAUGUCUGCUACUUGGAUCCAACUCAAGCCCUAAAGUGGGAUAAAUUUAAUUGGCAAUGCUGAUACUCCUUUCCUCUUUGCAAAUAUUCAUGAAAUUUUGUGUAGUUUGCAAGCAAGUGUAGACUACUAAAAUACUUUGUGAAAUAGAAUUAACAUUUCCCUCCAGCUCCUAUAAAUUAUUUAUAUCAGUGCU